GACGAACGCUGGCGGCGUGCCUAACACAUGCAAGUCGAACGGAAAGACGCUGCUCUUGUGGGUUUCUCGAGUGGCGAACGCGUGAGUGACACGCGAGUAACCUCUCCUUGUCUUUGUGAUAACUUUAGGAAACUGGGGCGAUUAUCGGGUAGAAGCUCUUGAUGCAUGGGGUGGAUUGGUGAGUGUCGGCGGUGCGGGCUGUACUCGCGGCUUAUUCGCUAGUUGAUGUGGUAGCGGCUUACCAAGGCUACGAUGGGUACCCGACCUGAGAGGGUGAUCGGCCACACUGGAACGGAGACACGGCCCAGAGUCCUACGGGAGGCAGCAGUAGGGAAUCUUCCGCAAUGGGCGAAAGCCUGACGGAGCAACGCCGCGUGAGUGAUGAAGGUCUUCGGAUCGGAAAACUCUGUUAUUAGGGAAGAACAAAUGUUUAAGUAACUAUGCACGUCUUGACGGUACCUAAUCAGAAAGCCACGGCUAACUACGUG
rnacentral:rRNA from 1 species